rnacentral:rRNA from 1 species
UUAAGUUAUUAAGGGCGCACGGUGGAUGCCUUGGCACUAGAAGCCGAUGAAGGACGUUACUAACGACGAUAUGCUUUGGGGAGCUGUAAGUAAGCUUUGAUCCAGAGAUUUCCGAAUGGGGAAACCCAGCAUGAGUUAUGUCAUGUUAUCGAUAUGUGAAUACAUAGCAUAUCAGAAGGCACACCCGGAGAACUGAAACAUCUUAGUACCCGGAGGAAGAGAAAGAAAAUUCGAUUCCCUUAGUAGCGGCGAGCGAAACGGGAAGAGCCCAAACCAACAAGCUUGCUUGUUGGGGUUGUAGGACACUCUAUACGGAGUUACAAAGGACGACAUUAGACGAAUCAUCUGGAAAGAUGAAUCAAAGAAGGUAAUAAUCCUGUAGUCGAAAAUGUUGUCUCUCUUGAGUGGAUCCUGAGUACGACGGAGCACGUGAAAUUCCGUCGGAAUCUGGGAGGACCAUCUCCUAAGGCUAAAUACUCUCUAGUGACCGAUAGUGAACCAGUACCGUGAGGGAAAGGUGAAAAGCACCCCGGAAGGGGAGUGAAAUAGAACCUGAAACCGUGUGCUUACAAGUAGUCAGAGCCCGUUAAUGGGUGAUGGCGUGCCUUUUGUAGAAUGAACCGGCGAGUUACGAUUUGAUGCAAGGUUAAGCAGUAAAUGUGGAGCCGUAGCGAAAGCGAGUCUGAAUAGGGCGUUUAGUAUUUGGUCGUAGACCCGAAACCAGGUGAUCUACCCUUGGUCAGGUUGAAGUUCAGGUAACACUGAAUGGAGGACCGAACCGACUUACGUUGAAAAGUGAGCGGAUGAACUGAGGGUAGCGGAGAAAUUCCAAUCGAACCUGGAGAUAGCUGGUUCUCUCCGAAAUAGCUUUAGGGCUAGCCUCAAGUGAUGAUUAUUGGAGGUAGAGCACUGUUUGGACGAGGGGCCCCUCUCGGGUUACCGAAUUCAGACAAACUCCGAAUGCCAAUUAAUUUAACUUGGGAGUCAGAACAUGGGUGAUAAGGUCCGUGUUCGAAAGGGAAACAGCCCAGACCACCAGCUAAGGUCCCAAAAUAUAUGUUAAGUGGAAAAGGAUGUGGCGUUGCCCAGACAACUAGGAUGUUGGCUUAGAAGCAGCCAUCAUUUAAAGAGUGCGUAAUAGCUCACUAGUCGAGUGACACUGCGCCGAAAAUGUACCGGGGCUAAACAUAUUACCGAAGCUGUGGAUUGUCCUUUGGACAAUGGUAGGAGAGCGUUCUAAGGGCGUUGAAGCAUGAUCGUAAGGACAUGUGGAGCGCUUAGAAGUGAGAAUGCCGGUGUGAGUAGCGAAAGACGGGUGAGAAUCCCGUCCACCGAUUGACUAAGGUUUCCAGAGGAAGGCUCGUCCGCUCUGGGUUAGUCGGGUCCUAAGCUGAGGCCGACAGGCGUAGGCGAUGGAUAACAGGUUGAUAUUCCUGUACCACCUAUAAUCGUUUUAAUCGAUGGGGGGACGCAGUAGGAUAGGCGAAGCGUGCGAUUGGAUUGCACGUCUAAGCAGUAAGGCUGAGCUGUGAUGGGGAGAAGACAUUGUGUCUUCGAGUCGUUGAUUUCACACUGCCGAGAAAAGCCUCUAGAUAGAAAAUAGGUGCCCGUACCGCAAACCGACACAGGUAGUCAAGAUGAGAAUUCUAAGGUGAGCGAGCGAACUCUCGUUAAGGAACUCGGCAAAAUGACCCCGUAACUUCGGGAGAAGGGGUGCUCUUUAGGGUUAACGCCCAGAAGAGCCGCAGUGAAUAGGCCCAAGCGACUGUUUAUCAAAAACACAGGUCUCUGCUAAACCGUAAGGUGAUGUAUAGGGGCUGACGCCUGCCCGGUGCUGGAAGGUUAAGAGGAGUGGUUAGCUUCUGCGAAGCUACGAAUCGAAGCCCCAGUAAACGGCGGCCGUAACUAUAACGGUCCUAAGGUAGCGAAAUUCCUUGUCGGGUAAGUUCCGACCCGCACGAAAGGCGUAACGAUUUGGGCACUGUCUCAACGAGAGACUCGGUGAAAUCAUAGUACCUGUGAAGAUGCAGGUUACCCGCGACAGGACGGAAAGACCCCGUGGAGCUUUACUGUAGCCUGAUAUUGAAAUUCGGCACAGCUUGUACAGGAUAGGUAGGAGCCUUUGAAACGUGAGCGCUAGCUUACGUGGAGGCGCUGGUGGGAUACUACCCUAGCUGUGUUGGCUUUCUAACCCGCACCACUUAUCGUGGUGGGAGACAGUGUCAGGCGGGCAGUUUGACUGGGGCGGUCGCCUCCUAAAAGGUAACGGAGGCGCUCAAAGGUUCCCUCAGAAUGGUUGGAAAUCAUUCAUAGAGUGUAAAGGCAUAAGGGAGCUUGACUGCGAGACCUACAAGUCGAGCAGGGUCGAAAGACGGACUUAGUGAUCCGGUGGUUCCGCAUGGAAGGGCCAUCGCUCAACGGAUAAAAGCUACCCCGGGGAUAACAGGCUUAUCUCCCCCAAGAGUUCACAUCGACGGGGAGGUUUGGCACCUCGAUGUCGGCUCAUCGCAUCCUGGGGCUGUAGUCGGUCCCAAGGGUUGGGCUGUUCGCCCAUUAAAGCGGUACGCGAGCUGGGUUCAGAACGUCGUGAGACAGUUCGGUCCCUAUCCGUCGUGGGCGUAGGAAAUUUGAGAGGAGCUGUCCUUAGUACGAGAGGACCGGGAUGGACAUACCUCUGGUGUACCAGUUGUCGUGCCAACGGCAUAGCUGGGUAGCUAUGUGUGGACGGGAUAAGUGCUGAAAGCAUCUAAGCAUGAAGCCCCCCUCAAGAUGAGAUUUCCCAACUUCGGUUAUAAGAUCCCUCAAAGAUGAUGAGGUUAAUAGGUUCGAGGUGGAAGCAUGGUGACAUGUGGAGCUGACGAAUACUAAUCGAUCGAAGACUUAAUCAA